rnacentral:rRNA from 1 species
GUGAUUGUGGGAAAGAUUCUAUCGGCGUGGGAUGGGGUCGCGUCCUAUCAGCUUGUUGGUGAGGUAACGGCUCACCAAGGCUUCGACGGGUAGCCGGCCUGAGAGGGCGACCGGCCACAUUGGGACUGAGAUACGGCCCAGACUCCUACGGGAGGCAGCAGUGGGGAAUAUUGCACAAUGGGCGCAAGCCUGAUGCAGCGACGCCGCGUGAGGGAUGGAGGCCUUCGGGUUGUAAACCUCUUUUGUUUGGGAGCAAGCCUUCGGGUGAGUGUACCUUUCGAAUAGGCGCCGGCUAACUACGUGCCAGCAGCCGCGGUAAUACGUAGGGCGCAAGCGUUAUCCGGAUUUAUUGGGCGUAAAGGGCUCGUAGGCGGCUCGUCGCGUCCGGUGUGAAAGUCCAUCGCUUAACGGUGGAUCUGCGCCGGGUACGGGCGGGCUGGAGUGCGGUAGGGGAGACUGGAAUUCCCGGUGUAACGGUGGAAUGUGUAGAUAUCGGAAAGAACACCGAUGGCGAAGGCAGGUCUCUGGGCCGUCACUGACGCUGAGGAGCGAAAGCGUGGGGAGCGAACAGGAUUAGAUACCCUGGUAGUCCACGCCGUAAACGGUGGACGCUGGAUGUGGGGCACGUUCCACGUGUUCCGUGUCGGAGCUAACGCGUUAAGCGUCCCGCCUGGGGAGUACGGCCGCAAGGCUAAAACUCAAAGAAAUUGACGGGGGCCCGCACAAGCGGCGGAGCAUGCGGAUUAAUUCGAUGCAACGCGAAGAACCUUACCUGGGCUUGACAUGUUCCCGACGACGCCAGAGAUGGCGUUUCCCUUCGGGGCGGGUUCACAGGUGGUGCAUGGUCCGUCGUCAGCUCGUGUCGUGAGAUGUUGGGUUAAGUCCCGCAACGAGCGCAACCCUCGCCCCGUGUUGCCAGCACGUUAUGGUGGGAACUCACGGGGGACCGCCGGGGUUAACUCGGAGGAAGGUGGGGAUGACGUCAGAUCAUCAUGCCCCUUACGUCCAGGGCUUCACGCAUGCUACAAUGGCCGGUACAGCGGGAUGCGACAUGGCGACAUGGAGCGGAUCCCUGAAAACCGGUCUC